rnacentral:rRNA from 1 species
AUUGAACGCUGGCGGAAUGCUUUACACAUGCAAGUCGAACGGUAACAGGUCUUCGGAUGCUGACGAGUGGCGAACGGGUGAGUAAUAUAUCGGAACGUGCCCAGUCGUGGGGGAUAACGUAGCGAAAGUUACGCUAAUACCGCAUACGAUCUAUGGAGGAAAGCGGGGGAUCGCAAGACCUCGCGCGAUUGGAGCGGCCGGUAUCAGAUUAGGCAGUUGGUGGGGUAAAGGCUCACCAAGCCAACGAUCUGUAGCUGGUCUGAGAGGACGACCAGCCACACUGGAACUGAGACACGGUCCAGACUCCUACGGGAGGCAGCAGUGGGGAAUUUUGGACAAUGGGCGCAAGCCUGAUCCAGCCAUGCCGCGUGUGUGAAGAAGGCCUUUUGGUUGUAAAGCACUUUAAGCGAGGAGGAGGCUACUAGUACUAAUACUACUGGAUAGUGGACGUUACUCGCAGAAUAAGCAUCGGCUAACUCUGUGCCAGCAGCCGCCGUAAAAC